UGGGGAAUAUUGGACAAUGGGCGCAAGCCUGAUCCAGCCAUGCCGCGUGAGUGAUGAAGGCCCUAGGGUUGUAAAGCUCUUUCACCGGUGAAGAUAAUGACGGUAACCGGAGAAGAAGCCCCGGCUAACUUCGUGCCAGCAGCCGCGGUAAUACGAAGGGGGCUAGCGUUGUUCGGAUUUACUGGGCGUAAAGCGCACGUAGGCGGACUAUUAAGUCAGGGGUGAAAUCCCGGGGCUCAACCCCGGAACUGCCUUUGAUACUGGUGGUCUUGAGUUCGAGAGAGGUGAGUGGAAUUCCGAGUGUAGAGGUGAAAUUCGUAGAUAUUCGGAGGAACACCAGUGGCGAAGGCGGCUCACUGGCUCGAUACUGACGCUGAGGUGCGAAAGCGUGGGGAGCAAACAGG
rnacentral:rRNA from 1 species